rnacentral:rRNA from 1 species
UACGGAAGGUUCGGGCGUUAUCCGGAUUUAUUGGGUUUAAAGGGAGCGUAGGCCGUAGAUUAAGCGUGUUGUGAAAUGUAGAUGCUCAACAUCUGACUUGCAGCGCGAACUGGUUUACUUGAGUGUGCACAACGUAGGCGGAAUUCGUCGUGUAGCGGUGAAAUGCUUAGAUAUGACGAAGAACUCCGAUUGCGAAGGCAGCUUACGGGAGCACAACUGACGCUGAAGCUCGAAGGUGCGGGUAUCAAACAGG